GAUGAAGAACGCAGCGAAAUGUGAUAAGUAAUGUGAAUUGCAGAAUUCAGUGAAUCAUCGAAUCUUUGAACGCACCUUGCACCCUUUGGUAUUCCGAAGGGUAUGCUCGUUUGAGUGUCAUUGUACUCUCACACUUCUAAUUCCUUUCGGGAUUGGGAGCGGUGGACUUGGGUGUUGCUGCUUUAGUUGUGGCUCACCUCAAAUAAGUUAGUGCAACUCUUGGUUGGACAUAGUACGGCGUGAUAAGUGUCUUCGCCGGCGCCUCUGUAAGGAGGGUGGCCGAUCGGGAGCUCUGUGCUUCAAACCGUCUUCGGACAAUCUUUGACAACUUGACCUCAAAUCGAGUAGGACUACCCGCUGAACUUAAGCAUAUCAAUAAGCGGAGGA
rnacentral:misc_RNA from 1 species